UCAACCUCACCCUGUUGUCAUCUCCCUCCCCCACCCAACCUAGUUCUCUCUCACUCUGUUUUCCUCACCGGAACCUCAGCUCCGACGCAUCUAGGUGGGGCAGCCUGUGCCUCGCCGCCGAGCGGUGCUACUACGGCGAGCCCCCUCAUCUGCCGGCGUUGCGCGACGCCAGCCGCCGGCGAUUUGCUCCGCACGGAAGAGGGGAGUUAUAAAAAUGUCAGGCCUUUUUAGUGGGAUACAAGCUGCGAUGGUUAUAAACCGUGUAGAAAAUAGUGACAAAUCUGUUGAAGAUUGGAAUAGCGACGGUGAUGGAUCAGGUUGUUCAACGGGGUUAGCUGGAACACCAUGCUUCACCUCGCGGUUAUAUGUGCUAAAGGCUGCUUCAGUAAUUGCUCAGUUUAGCGAAUUUAAGAGGCAGUUAGUUAGCGAAAUCGGUUUUGGAGGAAUGUUAGAGUUGAAGUCAUGGCAAAAGAUUAAUCUGAAAUACAGUGCGUACUUGAUGGAUAGAGUUGAUUUAGAUUCAUGCUCCUUGAACCUGGAGUCACAGGGGGUGUUGGAUUUGGUUGACAAGAAUAUAAAUUAUGUAUUUGGCAUCCCAUGUGGCAAUCUAACCAUUCAAGAUGAAGGCGUUGAACCAUCUGAAGCUUGUAUUGAGUACACGCGUGUAGCAGCAUCAUUCGGUGAGAAAGGCACACACAACCUAAAAGCUGCUGAAUCAAUCUUGCUUGCACCCAUAACAGAACAAUCAACGGAAACAGAGAAGCAUUGUUUCAAAAUUGCCUUUGUGAUUUUCAUCAUUGGACAUGUGCUUGCUCCGACCGCCAAACAUGACUACAUAUCAGUAGAUUUUUGGGCUGCACUGAACGAUGU